UAACAAGGAUUCCCCUAGUAACUGCGAGUGAAGCGGGAAAAGCUCAAAUUUAAAAUCUGGCGGUCUUUGGCUGUCCGAGUUGUAGUCUGGAGAAGUGCGUUCUGCGCUGGACCGUGUACAAGUCUCUUGGAACAGAGCGUCAUAGAGGGUGAGAAUCCCGUCUUUGACACGGACUGCCGGUGCUUUGUGAUGCGCUCUCAAAGAGUCGAGUUGUUUGGGAAUGCAGCUCAAAAUGGGUGGUAAAUUCCAUCUAAAGCUAAAUAUUGGCGAGAGACCGAUAGCGAACAAGUACCGUGAGGGAAAGAUGAAAAGCACUUUGGAAAGAGAGUUAAACAGUACGUGAAAUUGCUGAAAGGGAAACGCUUGAAGUCAGUCGCGUUGUUCGGAACUCAGCCUUGCUUUUGCUUGGUGCACUUUCUGAAUGACGGGCCAGCAUCGAUUUUGACCGUCGGAAAAGGUCUGGGGGAAUGUAGCACCUUGAGGUGUGUUUAUAGCCUUCAGUUCGCACACGGCGGUCGGGAUUGAGGAACGCAGCGCGCCGCAAGGCAGGGGUUCGCCCACUUUCGCGCUUAGGAUGCUGGCGUAAUGGCUUUAAACGAC
rnacentral:rRNA from 1 species